CAAUGCAAUACCAUACACUCCAACCAAUAGAAAUAGACCCAUACAUGUUGUGGCAUAGUCAGUGAGAAGUCAGGGUACCUCUGCAUGUCAACACUGCCACACACUGGACAUGCUGGAAGGAGCACAUGGUUUUUGUUAUGACUGGAAGUGAGUAAGCUGAGCUCAACAACAAUCCAGUUCUUCAAGCCAUCUUCAUAUCAGAGACAGAAGUCUAACCCAGCACAGCUGAUGUUCUGGACAGUAUGAUGUCAACCAUGGAUAUGAACAAUCAAUGCAAGCAGUGGUUUACAUACUGAGGCUUUGGGAAGUGAUGAACCAGGGGCCAAUUUCACAGAGCUGCUUA